ACCUGCCCUCGAGUGGGGAAUAACGCUGCGAAAGCAGCGCUAAUACCGCAUACCCUCAGUUCUUCAGUGAGCUGAGUAAAGCUUGAUGUGCUUGAGGAGGGGCCUGCGGCGGAUUAGCUAGUCGGUGGGGUAACGGCCUACCGAGGCGACGAUCCGUAGCUGGUCUGAGAGGAUGACCAGCCACACUGGGACUGAGACACGGCCCAG
rnacentral:rRNA from 1 species